rnacentral:lncRNA from 13 species
GAGAGAAGUCUCAUGGGGCUUUUUAGAGGUUGAAACUCUCUGCCUGGCUCCUCUGCCUGCUUAGGUGUAGGUGUAUCUGGAGUCUUGUUUGGGAAUGGGGCACUAACAACUGCUAUACAAAUUCAUAUUCUCUACUCUUGCAAGGUGAACACUGAAGAUGCAGUAUGGCCAUGCUGUUUGUUGUUGAUGCCCUGCUUGACAUUUCAAAAACCGUGUGAACAGUUGGUAGAGUAGAGGAAUUACAGUCAGAAGAAGAGAUGACAAAAAACAGAAAGAAGAUCCAGAAUUCACUCUGCUAUUUCUCAAGAGUCUGACCUGCAUCAACAGCCUCCCUUAUUCUGUGAUCCCAGUUUUGGAGAUCAAGGACAAGUUCAUUCUGGGUUGGCCGUGUCCAACUACUUUAAGCCAGCUACAUCCCCACCGGAAGCCAGGCUCUUGCCAACAGCUGUCUCCACAUUCCUCUUUCUAUGUCUGUUAUUUGUCUCUAGGUUCUGGUAACUACUUCCUCCUUUUGCCCCUUCUGGCCUAGGAUACCACCAAUCCCUCCUCCCAAUCAUGCUUUCACUAGCCUCAAAGUACUUGUAGCUUCCUCCCUUUACCUUCACCUUAAUAAAUUAUCCCCCUACUAUCUCUCUUCA